GUGAAACUCGUCCUUCACCUAUCUUGUUCGGAACACAAAGUUUCUUUUCAGUUACAAACUACAGUACAUAAGUAGAUAUGGGGAAGUACUACCUCCAACUAGGAUUUACAGUGAAAUCUGCAGGAAAUUCAAAUCAGCACUAGGAAACAGAC